rnacentral:rRNA from 1 species
GACAGAGGGGGCAAGCGUUGCUCGGAAUUACUGGGCGUAAAGGGCGCGUAGGCGGGAUGGCAAGUCGGUCGUGAAAUCCUUCGGCUCAACCGAAGAACGUCGAUCGAUACUGCUGUUCUUGAGGGUUGCAGAGGAGACUGGAAUUCCCGGUGUAGCGGUGAAAUGUGUAGAUAUCGGGAGGAACACCGGUGGCGAAGGCGGCGACCUGGGUAGAUACUGACGCUGAGGUGCGAAAGCGUGGGGAGCAAACAGG